GUCUUCUUCUUUUUUAUUCCAGGUCGGUCCCAGAGAAGCUAAGGUCUGCAGGAGACUCUCGUGAGGAUCUGAAUGGGCUGUGCAGUGCACAGGUCUGUGAUGCUGGGAUCUUUUAACUGAAGUCAACAUAUAGGACUGAAGUAUUAUAUCAGACAUUAAAUAAUAACUGUAAUAUUGCAAGGGGAAAACCUUGGGGAAGGCAUGGCUGAGUAAUAGGUUGCAGCUGCAAUCUAAGGAUUCAAGGACAAAAAUCAGCAUUCCAUAUGAUGGGCCCUGAUAUCUGAGAAUGGAAGAAAGGAAGAAGAGC